rnacentral:tRNA from 1 species
UAUUCUCACAUGGAAUCUAACCACGACCAAUGACAUGAAAAAUCAUCGUUGUACUUCAACUACAAGAACCUUA